rnacentral:rRNA from 1 species
AUACGGAGGGUGCGAACGUUAAUCGGAAUUACUGGGCGUAAAGCGCGCGUAGGCGGUUCGGUAAGUGGGAUGUGAAAGCCCCGGGCUCAACCUGGGAACUGCAUUCCAAACUGCAGGACUAGAGUAUGGUAGAGGGAGGUAGAAUUUCCUGUGUAGCGGUGAAAUGCGUAGAUAUAGGAAGGAAUACCGAUGGCGAAGGCAGCCUCCUGGACCAAUACUGACGCUGAGGUGCGAAAGCGUGGGGAGCAAACAGGAUUAGAAACCCGGGUAGUCC